AAACAGCCCCCUAUGUUUUGAUUAUUUGGCAGUUUUGGACCCCCAAGGCAAAAAAAAAAAAAAAAAUUGACACGUGGCACCUCACUUAGGGUGCCAUAAUGGACUGGGGGUCCAAAACUGCUAUAGAAUCAAAACAUAGGGGGCUGUUU
rnacentral:pre_miRNA from 1 species